rnacentral:tRNA from 1 species
GCGCUCGUAGCUCAGCUGGAUAGAGUAACUGACUACGAAUCAGUUGGUCGUGCGUUCGAAUCGCACCGAGCGCA